rnacentral:lncRNA from 1 species
UUUUUUUUUUUUUUUUUUUUUUUUUACCUCAGCAAGGUAAUUCAUUAGAUAUUCGCUUGGGUAAAGAAUAAAUGAAUAUAGCAUGCAUUAUAUCCUCACUUUAGUUGCAGAAACAAAUCUUUCCUGUACCUGCCAAUGUAAUCUUCAGAUUUUUGUUAUAUAAAACACCUCAAGAAAAAUGCACCUUGGUAAGAUUUACACUUUAUUACUCUAAUGAUUCCACAAACACAGCCACAAUGUGAUGAAAGGCAAAGCAGUCCUGAUCUGAUUGAGAGCUAAUAAAAAUCAGUACUGAAAACUGAAAAUAGCACCCUUAUCAUCUUUCUUUCAUUUAGACCUGAUUACUAGGGGAUUAUAAUGCAAUCACAGCUAUGUGUGAGAGGUAGCUAUGGGAACCAGUUUUAACUGUUUAUCUAGCCAAAGAUCUUAAUUUAAGUUUGAACACUCUGAUUCAUUUAUAUGUAAGACACCAAGGAGACAAAAUGCAGAAGAAACAGAUGCUCACUUGUUCUUUCCAUUUAACUUCAUAAGCUACCAGCCAAUUUGUCUUUCAGGGACAAAAUUAAUUUUUGAUGACAAUGUGAGCAAGUAAUAAACUAGGAGUUCCUGUCCUGGGAAACUUGUUAAGGCCAUGUAAUGUUCUGGAGUUAUUUAGAAAAAACAAUUUGCUCAUAGACUUGCAGGGACAUCUGUAACAGAGUUUUCUUUGUCCCUGUGCUGUUACUCAUUUCUGGGGGCUUUAUGACACCUUUUCCAGAGUCUGAUUUGAAAAAGUUCAAAAGGAAAUAUAUUGCCCAUUAUUUCUUUCCUUUGGGGUAUUUUCUUUUUCUUAGUCUGUUCCUUUUCUUUCCCCUUCAUAUUCACAAAUCAUGCAAACCUCAACCCACUUGCUUUGUUACUUUCAUACAGCCAGGGAAACCAAUCACCAGCCAGGAGACCUACAAAAUUAAUCAAAAAUUAUCUGAGGAAAAGAGCUUGUUGGCAAUUUUGAGGUAAGUACACACCUGAAAACGUGUGACAGAGCACUAUGAAAAAGUCUGUGGCACAUUUAGGUGGAAGGAGCUUUGCCCAUUAAUGCUGUAAACUCUUCUGUUGUCAUGAGCAGGGGAAAAAUAUCAAAAUGAGGCAGGGAGAGAGCAAAAGAGAGAGGUAUCUCUCCCUAAGAGCUGGCAUUUUCAAUAUGGGCUCUGUGUACAUGCUCCUGCAUCACUUAACCAAAAUGUUCUCCAUCUUUCAGUAUCUUUGCUGGCACUAUUUCCCCAUUUCAGUAUUUAUUUCGCAUGUACAACUCUUUACUGUGGCAAUACUUUUCUAUCAUUUGGUUCAUUUAUUGGGGUUUUAUCCUCACCUGGCAGGCCCUCCACAUCUCAGGUUUUCUCUUAGGUAAAUUCCUACAGUGUAAUGUCUGUCCAUUAGCACAUUUAAAAUCACUUCUUCUCCUGUGCUUAACACUCAUUUAUAGCUUAUGUGCUUCACAUGAAAUGUUCCUUUUUCAGCAGUUCUUUUGAAGAAAGUUUAAAGUAAGUUGCAAAAUGUUUCUUUUUCAUCUAAACAGGGAAAUGAAUUUAAGAAAGGAAGAGAAGAGCCUGAAGGUUUAGCUCUUUCAAAAUUUAAACAGAAUUCAAAACACUGUUGGAACACAUCUGUCAGAGAAAGCAUGAGAGCACCUGCAUUUUAAGAAUGAAUCUCAUCCCUAACUCCCUCUUUGAUAAUAGCUUGCAUGAACAGCACCUUUAAACCACAUCAAUCCCAGAUGCUUUCCAUCCAUCCGGUUAUUAUUUCCCUUGGCAUUGAAGUGCAGCUACCUCUAGACUGAAGCUUCUCAGUGAUGUGCAGCCUACUGUACAGCACCAGGGCUGACAACAAGAAGUCAUUAAAACUAUUCAGCUGAAAUUAUAAAACAAGGGGAAUUUUAAACAAGAAAUUCAAACACCAGCUUGGCCAGGAUAAUGCAUAGAACAUUGUUAACUCUUUAUUUAAAGGCCAGAUGGUUUCAAACACAAAUAAUAAGAAUGAAUUUUGGAUAGGAAAAAAACCUAAGAAUUCAAUGAAAGUUAUAAACUAUCAUGGUUCUGUUUGUAUUUACACAGCAGGAUCUCACCAGCUCCCUGCUUCAGCAUACAUGGCUCUGUACCUGCAGUGAGCAGUGCAUCACAGCUCAGCUGUUUCCCAAUGCUCUGCUUUGCCUUCAGUUAGUUUUCAGUGAUCAAGACAGAGCUUCUAGACACAGCCAUCCAAGUGUGGUGGCUUGGCCAUUAGCACCAAUAAGAGUGUCAGUGGUAAAUAACCACUGCAAACUUCUGAUCAGUAGCACCCAUAGAAAACGUAAUUUCAUUGCUUGAACAGCUAUUUCUUUUCCGUCUUUGCCACACAGCUUUGAAGGCUUUUAUGCAAAGGCAGGAUACAUACUGAGGCCACACAGAUGAAAACAGAGCAUUGACUCAUGUUUCAAGAACACAGAGUAAGGAAAGUUCACACACUUUAGGAAAAAAAACCACAGCACUUUGCAAAUUAAAUUAGUGCUUGGGAGAGAUGAGAUCAGUCAGUGCUCUGGCAUCCUCUUUCACAGGGAUCUGCAGCAGGACAUAAGAGCAGAGCAGUGUUCCUUUAGGGGGAUGCUGAUGAAAUUUCCCACCAAGACACUUCACAGGUUUAGGACAUAUUGAUUAGCAAGGCAAAUUUAAUAAAAAAGAAGGUAAGGAUAUAAAAGAAAGACAUUGUUGAGAAUGUUUGAGUGCUGGAAGUUUGACUGGUUAUUUGUAGAACUUUGUGACAAUUCUGAAAAUUCAUCUUGGCCUGCUGGGAAGCCAAGGAGUCACAUUGGAGAAAAAAUCCAAUUGGUUUUCUGGGCUGCAGGUAUAGGAAAGAGCUGGCUGAGGUAGGCCUACGGUUUACCAAAUAUUAAUCCUCCACAAAACAAAAAUGUUAGUUACCGUAUAAUUAAGGUAGAAAUUAUCCUUAGGUUGAAAAAAUCCUAAACCAAUAAUGUGGAUUACUCAUAAAGUACAAAUGCUGGAAAAAUUGAACAUUUCAGUCCACUUCACCAGUUACUCAGAAUCCCUGGCAAAUUGACUCAGUAAGAGCAAUUUAAAGUGGAGAAGUGCAUAAAAGAGAGGGGUGGAGCAUUGGGCUGGGGCAAUUUUGGGAAACCUGUUCUACAGAAUCACAUCUGCCACUUUAUUUCCUGUGAAAGUCUGAGACCUGACAACACCACAGUGCAAAAUUUCUUAGCCAUAUAUUUAAAAACCUUGCAGAUCAGGAAGACAUUAGUAGAACAAUGAAAAACUUGGCAUCUAAAUAACUCUAUAAAGUAUUUCCAAAACCAAACAGAUAUUUUCCACUCUUCCACAAAACUCAAUAUAAUGUAACUUAUUACACAUUUUAAUGCAGAAAGCCUUACAUAACUUGUCUCCAUUUCAAUAAAGCUGUAAAAUUGGGGGCUGUAUAUAUGACAUGCAAUUUUGAUGAAAUAAAGAAGGGGGAAUAGCACAGCUGGGCUGGAGUCACAUGAGUUAGAAAAAAGAGCGAUUCCACAGGCCUCUUUAAAAAGCUCUCAUCACAAAUUGAACCUAUAACAUUGCCUUUAUGGUACGGAGCCCACAAGCCCUGAAGAUGACAAGCUUGUUUAGGGUGGGAGAUGUUGAAGCAAGAUGCCCAUGACUUGGUCUAGUUUAGUAUUUUACAGAUUGUAACCACCAUAUUCCUGCAAAAACAAAAGCAACAUGAGCUCUCUCAGCAGUACACUAGGAUCUAAACUGACAACAGAGAAAGGAAAUGUUUCUUUUAGCUCUAAAAAUUAGUGCAAAAAGCAUAUGUGAGCUACAUACAAGCUGUGUCACUAAUACCUCAUGCUUCAGUAAAAUGAUCCCAGACUGGUUCACCUCUGAUCUUAGAGGGCGUCAGUUUUCAGAAGACCAACAAGUCAGCAGAUGCUCCUCCUUUCUGCAAUGCCUCAUUAGAAACCAGAUCUUUGCUUCAUGGUGCAUAAAGGCUGUGAAACUUAUAAAGCUCAGAAAUCUCAAGGACUACAAAAUAAACCCACUCCUGUGCAGUGCUAGUACAGGAAAUUCCAAUGUAAGGGAAUGCAACCUCUGUCCAACAUACCACAACUAGCAGAAGAAUGUGUCUUCCCAGGAAAAGAACUUUUAACUGGUUCCUAAAGGGUUUAUAUAUAAGUUGACUUCGUGUUACAGUAACAAGUCCAUUGGUCCAUUCAGCCAUGGAUAUAUUUCAUCUGGCCUUGCUGUGAGAAUAGCAGAGCCAUGGUGGACAGCCUGCUACAUGUCCCACGUGGGCCUGCAAGACCAGGUCCAUGGGCACAUCAAAAGGGUGAUUUGCUUUUCCUGAUGAGCUCAGGGGAGGCAGACAGUGAAAGUCUCUCCCUUUGUGGGAAAUUAGAACUACCCUGAGGCUACCGCCUUCUCUCCUUCCUUGUCAGUAAAAACCAUCAACACCUAACAUAUUCAUUUAACUAAGUAGAAAAUACAAAUUGAAGCAUAUCAUGUAUCAUGAGAAAUGGUCUUCAGUGUCUUCUGCAGUUGGCAAGACUAGGAGUUAGCACAUGUGAUAUUGUCUGUACCUGUGCAACAGUAGCCUGACUACUGAGACCUACGACCCAUCGAUGGACACCCUACAUGGCCUUCAGAGGUAACUAUUCUGGAAAUGUUGGGGGUAAAAAAAGAGAAAAGAUGAGAGCUGGACUCUGAACCUGGCAUAGUUCCAAUAAUGACAGCUUAGGGCCUGCCACUCUCAUCUUUCCUCUGAUAAACAGGUGGCAAGAGAAUGCAAAAAAUGCAAAUGUAGGUCUGAGAGUCCCUCUAAAGUGGUCCAAGCACAGCGGCACCAUGCCCAGAGGCACUGCAGGGUUGGUGUCAGAGUGUGAAUUGGGUGCAGAUCCCAGAGUCCGCUUUUCCUUCCCUUCCCCUCCAGUUCUACCUGUCUCUGUGGCACAGGGCAGGGACAGCAUGGAUGCACCUGGUGCUUUGAAUUUGUUACUUGCAAUAGUUCCUUACAAUGAUGUGCCAACUCAGCUGUAGUAAAUCUAGUCUUCUAGGUUUAAUCACAUUAUCAAUGUUAGCCAGCUAUCACAAAAGCAAAAUCCCCUUCGUUUUUAUACAAUGGCUCUCUCCAUCACCCAAGUGCAAGCUAACAAACUGAGACCAACUGUCACCAACACAUUAAAGCUUGGUUUUUCCAGCUAGAUGAAAGGCACCAAACCUGAGACAAAUAUUUUGUCAACCCUCAUGGGGAAUCUUGUAAAGCCAUCUCCCAUCCUGUAACCGCUCUGUGGUUAAAUAGCAGCUUCAGUUCUCUGAUGUUGCAAUCCAGCACCUUUCACAGGCAUUAAAUUCCCUCUAAAUUAAUUCUAAGGGAAAAAAAAUGCUUUCUGCUCAGAGUUAUUUCUAUUGCCCAGUUAUUUUAUCUGAAUCUGAUAACUAGUUUCCUGCUACAGGGGUUACAUCUUGAAUACUUAAUACCAAUUUGGAAAUUUUUUAGACAAAACAAAAAUACAUCUAAAACAUAACACACAGUUUAGCUAAGUGUAGAACAUUAAUGCAAGGCAUGAUUGUAAAAGCAGCAAAUAAAUUGGAGGAGGGGGGCAGAUUCAAUGGAUAUUUCUCAGGGUUAGUACAUGCUGUAACUGGUCAUUCAGACAUAUCUGGUUCUGAAAGUACAUUCUUUUUAGCAUAAAAAUCCCAGAGUUCAACAAUUAAAAAAAAAAAAAAAAGUUAGAAUGAAGGCUAGAGUGCAGCCAAAGGAUAGUGUUUAACAACCAUUUCAAAAUGAAAUCUAAAUAUGCUUACAUAAUAAAUAAAUGUUGGCUUCCAGGGAAGCUUUGCAACACUUUAAUUCCAUCCUGGACUGGGAUAUAUGGAAUUGUUUUGAAUUUCGUUCAGAGAACUCUGCUAAGCACACAAGCUGAUAUUUUGAUUCAUAUAAUAGAAGAUAUUUUUGCCCUGAAGUAACUCACUGGGCUCUCUUUGGCAAGUUUCUGUUUUUCCUUUUGAGCCACCAUACAAUUUUAUUAAUAGGACUAUACAAUAAUUAGUCUUCUCAUAUUUUCAUCAGCUAUUGAUAAUUCAACUGCCCUAUUUUUUGCUACAUGGAUUCCAGGAUCUACAUUUAAAAAAUCAAUCAGAGUUUCUUCCCCCCAUUACUUAAAAUUCAGCAAACAUAUGGGCUGGCAUAUUGGUCACAAAGUUCACUUUCAUGCUGCUCCUCCAUAGCAAGUUUUUUGGAAGGUUUUCUUAUCCUUCAUAGCCAAACCGGCAGGGCUAGUCCAUGAUCUAUGGCCCGUCACAAACACUGCAUGCACACAUGCAGAAUACCUGUAGAAUACACAAAUUAAGGCUCAACUAUCCCUAACCUAAGGUAUUGCGAGGAGACCUGGUGAGUUGUCUGAAUGGUGCAAUGACGAAAGAGCAGGCGAUUAUAUUGCCAGGAACAGAUGAGGAAAAUGAGAGUUGGACUCUUAUGAAAUUUGAAAUGAUCAGACCUAGCUGAGGUUUGCAGACUCCUGAGAAGAGUAGGCAGGUACCUGAUCCCAAGACACAUUAGGCUUCCAUCUGUAUUUUGUCCUUGUUCAUAUAUAAGAAAAUGAGUAAAAAAGUUCUGUAAAUGGCUAUAUCAAUCACUGGCUGUUAACAAGAAAAAAAUAUAUCAAGAAAUGCCUCUUGACUCUGUACCUUCAGCCUGGUACAGGUAGCCCAUUCCUCACUGCUGGUCCCACCGUUGGCUCCAGCCUGCACGCAGCACCUGGCAGUGCCCUGUCCUCCAGCACUGAGCCUGGAGACCUGGAAACACAGUGGCACCGGUUCCUCAGCAGGGAGACCUGCUCAGUCACUCCUUCCGUGGGCAGCACCAGCAGCUUAGCACACAAAUACCUCUUGAGGAAAGUACAGAUGCACAGUCCUCAGGCUGGUGGGUGCAGCCUGCAGUGACCAUAGGCACUGGUGAUGACAGCCUUUUUAUGCACAGACUUACAGUAUUAAUUUGCAAGCAACAGAUAGAAGCAGGGCUGUCGGCCAACAAGUAAUAUUUUGUAGAGCUGAUGCCAUAUGUCAUAUAUUAAAAGUCUUACAUCAGCAAAACACAUGGUUUAAUGCUAAAUAUGAGGGUGUCCCAAUGAAGCCAGUUGCACCUCUCAUGGUCUUCGAGAGAGCUACCCAAAGAGUUGCACAAGUAGGGCUUAAUUAUUUUACUACAACUUUUCGUUUAUGUUAGCAUUCUUUUUCAGGCUGCAUGUUAAAGCUGAAAGAAAUUACAUGAAAAAAACAAAAGAAAAUUAAAGUAGGAUUCAUAGCAAAGCAAGUAGGUACUUUGAUUGUAAAGGCACUUAGAAUUAGGGAGGAAUUUGAAGGCCAAAGAAAAUGUCCCAUAUUGCUAAAGAGUUUUUGUAAGUUGUCAUUGAGUAUGAUGCUUUUAAGCAAAUCCAUCACUGAAGGCUGUCCUCUGUCACUAAACCCAAAACCCUGUACAAUGUUUUUAUCUAGUCUAGCUUUCCAUGGCUGGUGUAUUUCAAGACAGGAGGGAGAUCUUAUCAAAACAGGAGAGAUUAGAAACAGCAAGCAAACAUGCUCAGCAAACAGAUAUGAAUCUGGAGAGACAUUUUCUCCUGACAAAAGCAUGUCCUACAGGUAUGGGUUUAAAUUAGUUAAAAUGGCUAUUUUAAAAAGUUGAAAAACCAUUCAGUGCAGACUGAAAGGUGAUUCCACACUCUAACUGCUUGUUGGGCAGAGGCAUACGCAAACCCUUUAGUACAGCUGCCCAAGCAGUAGCCCAGGAAGAGUAGCUUUCACAACUUGGCAGCUGGAUGUGGAGAUAAUCAUGUGGAUAUGGGCCCUGACCUCUCUGCUAGAACAGAUAAUAGAACAAAAAAAAAAAAAAAAAAAAAAAA